rnacentral:rRNA from 1 species
AUUGAACGCUGGCGGCAGGCCUAACACAUGCAAGUCGAACGAGUGGCGGACGGGUGAGUAAUGUCUGGGAAACUGCCCGAUGGAGGGGGAUAACUACUGGAAACGGUAGCUAAUACCGCAUACCAUCGGAUGUGCCCAGAUGGGAUUAGCUAGUCGGUGGGGUAACGGCUCACCUAGGUGACGAUCCCUAGCUGGUCUGAGAGUAUGACCAGCCAACCUGGAACGAAGCUACGGUCCAGAUCCUAACGGGAGGCAGCAGUGGGGACUUGUGCACAAUGGGCGAAAGCAUGAUGAAGCCAUGCCGCGUGUAUGAAGACGGCCUGCGGGUUGUAAAGUACUUUCAGCGAGGAGGCGUUACUCGCAGAAGAAGCACCGGCUAACUCCGUGCCAGCAGCCGGGUAAUAC